GAUGUGAAACCUGGGGGGCAUCUCCCGGUUUUUAAAGUUGGGGACCGCAAGGCCUGACGCUUUAUGAUGAGCCCGCGGCCUAUCAUCGGUAGUUGGCGGGGUAACGGCCCACCAAGCCUAAGACGGGUAGCUGGUCUGAGAGGACGACCAGCCACACUGGAACUGAGACACGGUCCAGACACCUACGGGUGGCAGCAGUCGAGAAUUUUUCACAAUGGGCGCAAGCCUGAUGGAGCGACGCCGCGUGGGGGAUGAAUGGCUUCGGCCCGUAAACCCCUGUCAUUCGCGAUCAAACCUCGCUAUUUAAAAGAUGGUGAGCUGAUAGUAGCGGAAGAAGAAGGGACGGCUAAUCUGUGCCAGCAGCCGCGGUAAUACAGAAGUCCCAAGCGUUG
rnacentral:rRNA from 1 species